CAGCUUUAGGGUCAUCUAGAUACACAAUUUGUGUUGCCAUGUUUGCCAAAAUGUAAGGGUCGUCAUCAUACCAAGUUCUGUUAAUGUUCAUAGACAGUAAGCCAUGGUUGAUUUUAACACUUCCCGGCCUAUUUGGGUUGCUAUCAAACCAUCGACACUUAAACAUGAUCACUUGGUAUCGAUCUUUGUAAAGCAAUUGAACGACAGUUGUGAGUUUGCCAUAAAAAUCAAUGUUCGUACUUU
rnacentral:lncRNA from 1 species